rnacentral:rRNA from 1 species
UACGGGGGGGGCAAGCGUUGUUCGGAAUUACUGGGCGUAAAGCGCGCGUAGGCGGACCUGCAAGUCGGGGGUGAAAGCCCGAGGCUCAACCUCGGAACUGCCUUCGAUACUGCGGGUCUCGAGUCCGGGAGAGGUGAGUGGAAUUCCUAGUGUAGAGGUGAAAUUCGUAGAUAUUAGGAAGAACACCAGUGGCGAAGGCGGCUCACUGGCCCGGUACUGACGCUGAGGAGCGAAAGCAUGGGGAGCGAACAGG